CGUUACAGUUCCCGCUACUCACCUGAUCGGAGGGACUGUCAUGGUAGAGACCGGUCAUACUCUCCAUAUGACAGAAGGCGAUCAUACUCUCCUUACGGCAGGGAUGAAUCAUAUUCCCCUUACUAUGGCCGGCGAUCAUACUCACCUUACUACAGCAGACGGUAUCGUUCAAGGUCCCCAUACUGCUACAGAAGACGCAGGUCACCUUCUGUUUCGCCAUACUACCGCCGGCACAGGUACAGAUCUGUCUCCAAGUCAUCCAGU
rnacentral:lncRNA from 1 species